UACGAAGGGGGCUAGCGUUGCUCGGAAUCACUGGGCGUAAAGGGCGCGUAGGCGGCCAUUCAAGUCGGAGGUGAAAGCCCAGGGCUCAACCCUGGAAUUGCCUUCGAUACUGUUUGGCUAGAGACCGGAAGAGGUAAGUGGAACUGCGAGUGUAGAGGUGAAAUUCGUAGAUAUUCGCAAGAACACCAGUGGCGAAGGCGGCUCACUGGCCCGGUACUGACGCUGAGGUGCGAAAGCGUGGGGAGCAAACAGGG
rnacentral:rRNA from 1 species